UCUACAGGCCUUCAAUAUGAGUGGAUUUCCUAGUGUUAAUGUAGUGCUCUUAUGCAGCAUUAGUGACUCAAUGUGUUUAGUUAGUUGUGGUCGCAACCAAAAUCUUUAGUAGCUUGUAACAUAAAUCUAUUAUGCUCUGUGUAAUCAAGUGUCAACAGUUAUAUAAAAACUGGUAGCUAUAUGAAGAUGGUAGAUAAUAGAAAAUCUAUCUGCUCAGGCAUCUCAAUACCCCCCUCCCUCUCUAUUUUCUCUCAAUUCCCUUCAUUUUCAUUCACUCUCUUUUAGUCAUCUCUAGCAUUUGGUUGGGGAUGAUCAUCCUCGGCCUUCCGUAGCUGAAGCUUGGCUACCAGUGAUAUGUAGCAUUCCGUCUUCUAUUGUACUUAUAGCUGAUGAGCCAGCAAAUGACUAUGAAAUUAUUAGAACGGCCGCUCAAGCUGAUUCUGGAGAAGCUUUUGCAAAUUCGUCAUCUCUGAGUUUGAAGUGGGAACUUAGCAGCUGUGAGGGACUAGCAUAUUGGGAUUAUGCAUUUGAUAUUGUGAAGUCGAACAUUACUUGGAAGCUGUUGCAAAUGAUUCUCAAGUGGUGGAAGUUAUUCAACCACCUACAGGCCUAGAAUGUCAACAACUGAUUUUGUCCCCUAAAGGAUUAGGAAUAGCUGACCUGACUUUAUAUGACACGGGGCUAACUCCACCAUUAAGAGCAUCUGCACUCGUCCAGGUUGCAGAUAUAGAAUGGAUUAAGAUCCUGUCCGGUGAAGAGAUUAGCCUAAUGGAAGGAAGUUUGCAAACUAUUGAGUUGAUGGCUGGUACAAAUGGAGGAAGCAAUUUUCAUGCUUCCUAGUUUGUUUACAUGAAUCUUCAUAUACAUGUUGAAGAUGCCAUAAUUGAGCUGCUGGACACUGACAAUCUGUCUAGUCUUGUUGGUAGACAUGUUAAUGCACCAAGUUUUAAAAUAAAGGGGAGAUAUCUUGGAAUUACAACAAUUUAUGUAAGUCUACUAUCAACGUGUAUAAACCUGAUCUCAGUCUAACUAAAUUUCUUCA